UUAAGUUCAGCGGGUAGUCCUACCUGAUUUGAGAUCAAACGUUCAAAGAGCUGUCCUCGCUGAGGAGAGACAUUUAUGAGCCCCAGCGAACCCCCAUCGCUGAAGGUCACCCUGGUGGAAAACCACAAGCGUAGAUAGUUAUCACACCCGUGAUGCCACCAAACACUGGCAAGCUAAUCCAUUUGAGAGGAGCUGACCAC
rnacentral:misc_RNA from 1 species